AACGCGAAGAACCUUACCAAGUCUUGACAUCCCCCUGACCGGAACUUAACGGUUCCUUUCCUACGGGACAGGGGAGACAGGUGGCGCAUGGUUGUCGUCAGCUCGUGUCGUGAGAUGUUGGGUUAAGUCCCGCAACGAGCGCAACCCUUAUUCUUAGUAGCCAGCAGGUAAAGCUGGGCACUCUAGGGAGACUGCCAGGGAUAACCUGGAGGAAGGUGGGGAUGACGUCAAAUCAUCAUGCCCCUUAUGAUUUGGGCUACACACGUGCGACAAUGGCGUAAACAAAGAGAAGCAAGACCGCGAGGUGGAGCAAAUCUCAAAAAUAACGUCUCAGUUCGGAUUGCAGGCUGCAACUCGCCUGCAUGAAGCUGGAAUCGCUAGUAAUCGCGAAUCAGAAUGUCGCGGUGAAUACGUUCCCGGGUCUUGUACACACCG
rnacentral:rRNA from 1 species